AUGUUCCGCGCACGGGCCCCUCGCAAACCCAGGCCACCGACCGUUGCGGAGCCCACGAACUCGGCCGGUCUCCAUGGUGACCGGCUCGCCGCAGAGGCCUCUGGGAAUUGUAGUUGGGCCGGAGCAGCGCCCGUGCGCCGAGUUCCGAGCGGUGGCGGUUACUGCUCGCCACUGCGGUCGGUCGGAGCUGGGCGGUGUCGGGGGGAGCUCUUCCGCGAUUCCUCGGCCUCCGGGAGCCCCGGCAGACGGGCGGCCGCCCGGAAAGGCAGGGUGUGGGCCCGGGCUCCAGGGAAGAUGGUGACUUCAGGAGUAAGGACUAGGCUUUCACCUUAAAUCAAGGAGCUUGCUGAAAGAAGAUCCCAAGAGUGACUCUUCACCGGUAUCAGACCUGGGAGACACCUCAGAAUGUUCCAGAACCUUGGGCCAGCACUGGGGAGCCUCCACAUGGGAGGCCAAGCUGCUGCCCUGCCCAAGAGAAGAGUUGCAAGCAGGAGAGGGAAGAAGCAGCCACGACGGUGACAGAAUUGACCAGAACUCUAGACCAGACUUCAAGGAAGCUCUUCGAGGAAGAACCACAACCUGUCCAUGCUGUUCUCCACGGCCCCUCUGAGCACCGCGGGACUUGGCCUGGAGACCGGGUACGGCUGUGGCCACUGCAGGCAAAGCCCAUGGACUUGUGGUUCAGCACGGUUGUGGGCGGAGAUGCCCUGGGUGACCCAAGAUGUGGCCUGCCUUCUGGGACAGUUGUCGUCGCACUCUCCCAGGUCACGCAGGAGGAAGGUGAUCUCCUCCCUGUUGCCAGCGCUUGCCCCUGGUACCUGCUCACGCCGGGCGGGCCGAGCAGAUUCUCCCUGUGGCCCACCACGCCUGAUGCCUGAGUAACUUCGGGGCAGGGGAGGCGGGGAGCAAGCGAGCGAUCGGGAUUGUUGCGGAACUGGCCAUGCAGUGUCCUGGUUAGGUCUGGCUGACGUACGGGCCAUCCUCAGCAGGAACCCACAGCUCUUUGAGGGCCCAGCCUGUGUCUGAAGCCGUGCCUGGCUUAGCGCCCGGCUGGAGUAGGGGCAUGCUCCCAUAGUUCCCUGCGGCCAGGGAGUUCGCGGAGGGCCCAAGGAGAACAGUUGCUAGUGGUGACUGUCCUCAAGUGUCCUACUGCGCCCCCCAGCCCCCAGUGAGUGUGUCCUGCCUUUGCUUUAUGGCGAAGUCCUGGGUCCUCAGCACAAAACAGACGGUGCCCCCUUGUGUUUGUGAGCUGUGGACUCCCUGUCUCCUUGGGCAGUGGGGGGCGAUCCUGUGUAUAUAUCCAGGCUUUUACAGAGCCUCAGAGCUCUCUGCUGCUUUCUUUUAAAGCUGGUGAGUUAAAAAUGUCUAGGCCGGAUAGUAGGUGCUGGUCCCGAGAGCUGGCGUCGCCCAUAGAACCACAUCUCCUGGGAGCCCGGGGCUGCUUGCGAACAGCAGAACCUGGAAGCUGGUGGAGAUGUGAGCAGGUCACCAGCGGUUAAAGAGAGAAAGGGAGGGCCCUUGCCAGCUUCCUCUUUGUCUGCUUGCCAGGGGCUUUCCUGCUCACCCCAGUGUGUCUGGGCAGGAGCACAGCUGGCCACCAGGUGUGCGUGCUCGGGCUUUGGAAGUUUGUGGCUGGAGUGUCGCAGUGGGUCACCAGAAUGCUCUCUCACAUGAUUCCCCUAGUGACCACCCGGAGACCCCACUGAACAGAAAUGAAGGCACACGGGUAGUGAUCGAAAGAGAUGAUCCCGUGCGGGCUGGAGGGGGAACAGGACGCUGGAGGGGCCGGCGGCUCUCAGCUGGGCACUCCCGGGGAACUGGGGUGGUGGUGGGGGAGGAGAUGCUCGCGGAGCCGCGGGUUCUGGUGGGCGCAUGCGUCAGGUUCGGACCGGCCCAGCCGGCACUCGGUGGCCACGGUCAAGGGCCUCGCGCGCAGCACCCCGCCGAAUCCCCAGCAGCCGCGGGAAGUCGCGUGUUCCUGUCCUCGUGUUCACAUGAAGAAAAUGAGGUUUAGAGAGGUUAAAUAACUUGCCCAAGGGCGGGCAGCGAGCUGGGGGAGGGUCAGGGCUUCACCUCCGCGUCUGCCCGUCCCUCCGGCGGCGGCGGUGAGGCGCUGCUUCUCCGCUUGGACUUUCCCUUGCGUCGCUGGAAUCCCCAAUCCGCGCGGCGUCUCGAUGUGGGGUCACGUCGAAGUGGUCCUGCUGGCUCAGCCCCUUCUCGGCCCGCCUGUGGUUUCUGAGAGACCACGUCGCGUGGGUGCUGAACCUCCUCCCGAUGACCCCCAUGGCCGCCAGGUUCACGGGCGACUACCGCCCCCACCCUCGCUCUCCCGCAUUUACUGGAAGUUCUGUUGUGGGCAUUUGGGGACAGCCUUGGGUCGUGGCAGACGCAAGAAUCUGUGAUUUCUGCUCUCCGUUCUGAGUGGGACCCUCAGGCAGAACAAGGCGGGAACAAUUUCUUUCUGUUCCACUGUGUCUGGGCCUCACCCCAAGAGGCCCAGAUGGCUGGAUUUGGCUACUGUCUGCUUGUGGCUGUAGGGUGGGGGCUUUGGUUCUGUCUGCCAGUGGGAUCUGUCCCCUCUUCUUCACGUGGCAUCCCCUGAAGUGGGGCGGAAGUGCCCAAAAUGGUGUCUCCUCUUGCGUGCCUGGUGCUUUCAUGGUCUCUCUUCAGUGGCGUGUGAGUCACUGUGACAGGCUUGUUCCUUAUUCCCUCCGCGGUCAGCUGGCUUAGAGGGGAACACGUGCCUUCAUUCUGCCAAUAAAAAUUAGGAGGAAGUGGGCUGGAGGAACGUCUGGGAAGAAUUUUGCUUUAGGAUUAAAGGAAGGGUGGUGAAGAAGCCUGGCCCUUCUUCCUGCUUCGGACAUGGAUGUUUGAGGAUGUGACACUUAGAGCUGUAGCAGCCAUCUUGGGACCAUGAGGCAACAAGACCAAGGGAAAAAGCCAGCACACAAAGUUGGCCCAGCAGUCAGACAAAAAGAGCCUGGUCCUAGAUGACAUCGUUGAGCCACUAUACCUAUCCUGGAAUCAGCUACUACCAGUCUUGAUACAUUAAUCAAAUGUCGUUGUCUUCUAAGCAGAUUUCUGCUAUUUGAGGCCUAAGACGUUCUUAGCUGGUAUUGCAGUCCUCGGAACCUGUCCGUCAUGAACUCCUUGAAGCCCCCAUGGCUCUUGGUUUAGAUCCAAAUGGGAAAUCACUGCACGUUUGGACAGUGGAAAUCUUAACUCACGUGGUAGGAGAUACAAGUCAAGAUUUCUCACAGCCUACGGAGCAAUUCAGCACAUAGUCCCAUCUCCCUGGGGUCUGUUGGACUCAAAUGAGGAAAGACAGAUUCAGGAAAGUUCUAUGUGCAUGAGCGUGAGUCUUCUAAAAUGGAGCUCAGUGAUGACUUUGGGGGCCACAAGUGCAGGGAGGGGAGAGGGAGAGAGCCUAAGCAUGGGCAGAAAGCCAUGGAAAGCACGUGGUAGGGGCAGCAAGCUGCGAUGGACAGAUGGCGGGUGGGUGGGAUCACUUCUGCGGGAGGCCAGGCUCCACAGCGGGAUUUCACAGGGGCCAAGUACUGGCUGGGAGGAGUUUAUGGCAACUGGAACUAAACUGGUGGAAAACGAGGCCUUUCCGUCAGCUCUCCAGCCAGCCUUUCUGACAUUUCAGAUCCUCUUGGGAACAGAGCUUGAAUCGUGGCCUUUGCCUGGGUGCGGGUGCUCCCACGUUUCUUCAUCCUUUGUUUCUCCUCCUCUCCCUCUCGCACCGCUAUUUCUUCCUGUUUUCUCCGCAAAGCCAGGAGCCAGAAAUGCGCAAGAUCUGAAUCUCUUCUACCUCAGCUGGAGAGUAAAGAUCGCGGGAGGCAGGGAUGUCUUAGGGAGUCCUUGUCUGGGGAUCAUCCUGGUUUGCUUGGGAGGCGGGAAAGCCGUCCGCUGGUAAGGACUAGAUUAAGCUUUCUUCUGCCCCAACUUUGACCAAGCAGUGGGGUCGGGGGGUUGGGGGGGCUUCUUCAACCCAACAUAGGAAAUUGUGUGGUCCUGCCUUCCCUUGUGCAAGGAGACGUUGAUCCCGAGCACUCGAAGCCCUCCUCUUUCCAUUUCUAGUUUUAGGUACGUGACAGAUAACCUGGAACCCUCCUCAGGCAUCCUACCAAUAUGUCAUUGCGCUCAGAACUUGAGAAAAGUCUCACCCACCCAUUUCCCGUCCCCACAUCAUCAGUAGAAGAGACGUGUGGCCUGUAGAAGUUCAUCAAACGAACAGGGCCCGAACAUGGGCAGCAGACUCCGUCCCUAAGCCUCGCCCCUCUGGGCACAGCCCUUAUGACCCUGCGUAUCUUAGAAGUCCUGCCCCCAAAGGCCAAAACCAGGCCAACCCUGACAUUUGCCUACUGUCUCCUUCACUCCCUCCGGAGAAGUACUGAACACCUAGAAUUACAAGCUAAGGUUAUAAAAGCAAUGAGAUAUUAGGAAAAGCAGUCACUGAAGACACACACACAAAAAUUCCAGAUCUCAUCAGAGAAAAGAAUGAAAGCUUUGGGAUGGACGGGGGAAAAAAAAGGGUGAUCUCCUCCUCUGAUGUGAUGCAUGUUUGUUUCAUUGUGAUGCUUAAUACAUGGUGAAUUCCCCCACCCCCACAGUGGGGCCCUAUACCGCGAAGGUUUCUCUGAAGUAAAAUAAGGAAAAGAUCUUGAAGGCUUCUCGUCCCCCUUGGCAAUCAAGUAUGAAUUAUCUCCAGUAUGAAUUAGCGUGAUUACGGAUUAAACAGCCUCCCACAGUCUGUACAACAUGAGAGUUUUUCCCAUGAACUUGUCAACGAUGAGAAAGGGCUACCCUGUCCCCACACGGUUUUCCCCAUCGAUGAGGCCCCCAGGCUUCUCUCGAGGAUGAAUGGUGUCAGGUUCUAUCCGCUGCACGCUUCCCCUAGACGGUUGUCCGCAUUCAUGACAUCGGACUGGCUCAAGUCCCCACUAAAUUAGCUGGCAUUGUCCGAGUCCCCCUCAGCCAUUAGGCUUACAGACCUCCUCCCUUGCCCUGAAGUCCCGGAUGUCUGAUCAGCCGUGAACGGGCUCUAAAAGCAUUUCCACAUCCAUUACGUGCAUGUGGUUUUUCUCCAGUGUGAAUUCUCUGACGUUGAAUGAGCUCUGCUUUUCCGAAAGCCCUCACAUUUAUUGCAUUUGUAGAGUUCUUGUGGAUUGCGAAGUUUCUAGAGUGCUGGCAGGGGCCUCCACAGAGCGGGCUUUCUCUAAGAUGAAUGUUUCAGUGUUCAGUAGGAUGGGAGCCCCCGCGGAAGUCGCCCGUAUCCGUAAGGAGGUCUCUAAUAGGAGUACUGUAAUCCUGAGUAAAUUCUAACUUCUAAGAUGUGGCCACAUUUACUCUAGGGUCUUCUCACUUCUAAAAGAUGCAGACGGAAUUGCAAAUUAUCCCUAUCAUUGUCCCAUUCGUGGGAUGGGGUCCUUGAUGGUUCUCUGGAACGUCCCCCUAGUCACGUGCGUUAACUUGUGAGUCUGCUCCUGCAGAAAGUUCCUGCUUGGGGUCCCACUUUCUCUGGGUCCCAGCCUCAUAAUAUAAAAUCCCAGCAAAUAAAAAGCCCCGGCCAUUCUCUCUCAAAUAACCGGAACGUGUCUUGGGCGGAGAAUAGAAAAUUUGGGGAGAAAACUUAGGAAUCAGAGUGCUUUGGGGUGAAUCUAGAAAAUGAGGGGUGUGGCAGAUGGCCGGUUCCUUAUAUUCUUUUUUUCUUAACGAAUACCUUUCUUAAGAUAACACCUUCUCUAGUGACUGGGAGGGAGCACACGGGAUCUUGAAAGGAGGCUGUUCCCCCUCUGUUCCUUGAUUUGGAUGCUGGUCAAGUGGAUGUGUUCACUUUGUGAAGAUCCCUAAGUGGUAUGUUUAGGAUUUCUGCGCUUUCCAGGAGGCAAGGUUAAAAAUGAAUUAGUUCCCCGUAUUGCCGCCGCGCAGCCAGCAAAUGAGAUGUAAACAGAACUGGGUCUCCACGAGAACUUACUGAAGUGGGGGCCGGCAGAGCAGAAACCUUUUGCCUUUUCCCUGCCUGCACCCCUUCUUCUCCCGAAUCCCGGUGGUGACGCCUGAAGGUGCAGCUCCUGGGAGCGCGUGAAGGAGGAACACACGCUUCUAGAAGCCGGCCAGGUGAACCUGAGGAAGGUGCCCCUGCCCUGUGGCUCUGAACUUCUCACCUCCAGAAUUUUCACUUGGUUUAGUCUAGGCAAUGAGAAGUGACUGACGCGUAGGUCAGCCCUCUUUCCCUGUGCUCGUUACCCCUUACGUUUCCUGUUCGCUUUUCUCUUUCAUCCUUUUGCAGAAGUUCUGUGUUCGUUGAAGGUCUUGUCCCUCUGCAUGUCACAUGCGUUGUGGCCUUCCUCCCAAAUUUGUCAUUUGUCUCUUGAGGUUGUGGGUGUUUUUGUUUUUUGUUUUUUUAAGCCAAACAAAUUACCCCAUGUUUAUCGUAUGGCUUCUGAAUGUUGCAUAUGUACACUUUUCCCCACUCCAGAGCUGUUAAAAUGUUCACCCUUUCUGCAGGUACUUUCUUAGUUCUGUUGUUUUAUGUCAAAAUCUUGGAUCCCCAUGAAAUUAAUUCACCUUGAGGGGAGGCGGGGGGCGGGAGGGGGGGUGAGGGUCCAGCUCCUCCUCUCCCCCAUCACCUCCCCUUCCCCAGCCGUUGUGAAAUGCUGCCGUGAGGAUGGGUUCGGUUCCCAUUUGAAUGUGGGUCUUGAAUUUCUGUUUCCUGUCUGUACCUUGUCUGAUACAUAGUUAUUUUAACCCUUGCUCUUUAUAAAUUGUUCUCCCUUCUGAUAAGGCUACUGCCUCAUUGUACAUUUCUGGAACUCUCUUAUCCUUUAAGGUGGAUAAGUGGAGGAUGGUGGUAAUCACUUAGAGAUUGCCAUGAUUGUCAGACUGCACAGAGCCUCCUGCAUACAGAGAACAUUCUGACAAUAUCCUUACUUCGAGCAUUCUCCCCUUUUCCUCUGCAGUGUAUUCCUGCAGCAGUUUGGUAGGCAGGAGUCCUAUUUUCUCAUAAUUACUCAUAUCCAAACACUCAACAUCAAACAAGUUCCGGUUUUGAAAAAUACGUCAUAAAAGCAAAGCCGUACGACUCACGAUGGUCUUUAGUAAUAUAAAAGGGUAACAUGAUGCUUCAGGUGCUGUGAUGUGGGCAUAAGGAAACUCAGGAUGAUAAUGUCCCAGGCCUCAGUGUGCCAUGGAGUCUAGACAAAGCGUGAACCAUUCCGCUGUUUUGUCCGCCUCGCCUAAAAAUAGCCUCAUCUAUGUCAGAAGGAGAGAUAAUGGCGUUCACAAGUGUGCUUCCCUUUGGGGAAUUUAGGAAAUUCAUGAGGAAAUGAUUUGUAAGAUCUGAGUUUCUUCUUAAGGUAAACUUCCAGAGAAUGUUUCUUCUGAUAAAUUUCCCUGAAACAAAGCAUUCAGAAGAAUUGCAUUCGCCUUACAGCAGCAUAGGAUUUGGGGGGUUUCUCCUGGAAAUGGCUAUGAUCGUAUUUAAAGGCCUCAUGAGGAUGUGAGUUUUAAGUGCAUGGAAGUAUUGAGAGAAAUAGUCUCCGGAAACAGGCCUUUGAUCUUUUCUUUGUUGCGUAAAUGCUUCAUGUUGGCAUAAGGAACAAAAUGAAAUGUUUGGAAAAACACAGGUCCAGGGAAGAUUAAUUCCUCCAAUAAGUCAGAAUUUGUGCAAAAUGAUUAUGAUGUAAGUGUAAAAUUAAAAAAAAAAAGAAAGAAAAGAAA